GCCUAUCUCAGCUACAAUCAUGUCGACACACACAAUCCACGCCCUCAGGUCGGCUAAUUCGCAGGCUAGACAACAUAGAAGGUGCAUUGUUGCUAAGGCUAAAGUUGCAACACCCGGAAGUGCUUACCUCAUCAUGUUCAUCCUUGGACAGUUGUUUACGUGUGUACUAGCGCGUACCUUUCAUGCUGAUUCAUCUAAGGCGCGAUGGUGGUUGCAGGGACCGGGAAACAGUGGACAGUGAUGGCGAUGUUGCAGCGACCACCUCCUUGCUGAUAUGAAGGGAAUGCACAAGCAGAUGGAGUCAUAGCAGAGAGACACUGGAAGGACAGUGUCUCCUGGGAGUUGUAGUCCGACUCGUGUUGGACUGUAAGCCAAGUGUGGUGCGAUUCAUCAGGAGAAACGUUCAACGCCAACGCCGCCUCCUCUCCCUCCUCCACCAAUGAAGCCACGUCCUCCUCCGCUUCCCCGGCACCGUUCACCUCCCGCCCCGUCUCCUCCACAGGACUGCGCACUUCCUCCCCGUCCAGAGGUGUCCCCAUGUCUCCACCUGCCGUCACUUCGAUCCCAUUUAUCUGUGCCGCUUGAUUUUCAGCGCCAUCUGCGCCAAGAUGGAUGCUGGCGACGGAGUUGUGCUUCCACAGUGAUUCAUGGGAGCGUGUGUCGUCUGAUGCUACUUGGAGGAAGAAAACAUAAAAGCUGGUAAAUGUGGUCACAAGUAAAAUUUGUGGAGAGCUACCAGUCUGGGUGUUGUGCUAGCUGAUACAAGUUGUGACUCGGGGUGAACCAGCUUGUGAAGAAGAUCCCCCUAUACCAGGGGUCGGAAACCGUUUUGGCUGAGAGAGCCAUGAAAGCCAAAUUUUUUCAAAUGUAUUGUCGUGAGAGCCUUAUUAUAUUUUUUAACACUGAAUACAACUAGAUGUGUGCAUUUUUUGGAGUAAAACCAACAUUUUUAGAGUAUAAUAAGUCUCUAAUUAUUUUUAAUAACAUUGUUAUUUCUUGAACAGGAGUGGUAUAAAACGGAUGGACGGAUUAAAAUGCAUGAGAAUGUUUUAUAUUUUGAACGUUAUUUUUAACAUUGUGAUUACCAGCGGAAUUAUUCAUUAUGUAUCGUGUUAAGCAAUGUCAGCUAAGAUUUAUCUGAGAGCCAGAUGCAGUCAUCAAAAGAGCCACAUCUGGCUCCAAAGCCAUAGGUUCCCUACCCCUCCCCUACACCAUACAACCAUCUUUUUGAUUACUGAUGGACUGGACUCACAUUAUUUCUUCUUUUUCCCAUUUCGGGGUUUUGAGUCUUUCAUUGCCCAAAUGUAGUUUCAGAUAAGGGGAUGUUGUUGUGGUUUGUGAAGCCCUUUGAAGCACUUCUGAUUUAGGGCUAUAUAAAUAAAUGGUGAUUAAAUGAUUGACAACAUCAAAAUGUACCU